rnacentral:sRNA from 1 species
AAUAUGUCUUAAAAUGUGAAUAAAUACCAGUUACACCGUCUAUGAAAACUUAGAGAAAGUUGAGAUCAGUAUAGGAAGGCUUCCCUAAAAUAGGUGAAAGAGUUUGUUUGCCCUUGGUAGUGACCUUUCAGUUUUAAAUAAUGUAAUUUUGCCUGAAGCAUGGACAUAAAGUCACAUUCUUAAUUUUAAAGGAUUUUUUCAAGGCACUGGGAAGAGUAAAACAGAUUCAUAAUGAUGUCAAAGUUCUCUUGCGUACAAAUCAACAAACGGCAGGUUUAGAAAUUAUGGAACAGAUGGCCUUACUUCAAGAAACGGCUUAUGAAAGACUUUACCGAUGGGCUCAAAGUGAAUGCAGAACAUUGACACAAGAAUCAUGUGAUGUAUCUCCAGUAUUGACACAGGCAAUGGAAGCCCUGCAGGACAGACCUGUCUUAUAUAAAUAUACCUUAGAUGAAUUUGGAACAGCCAGAAGAAGUACAGUUGUUCGUGGAUUUAUUGAUGCGCUCACAAGAGGGGGCCCCGGAGGUACA